UACGUAGGGUGCGAGCGUUAAUCGGAAUUACUGGGCGUAAAGCGUGCGCAGGCGGUUCGCUAAGACCGAUGUGAAAUCCCCGGGCUUAACCUGGGAACUGCAUUGGUGACUGGCGGGCUCGAGUAUGGCAGAGGGGGGUAGAAUUCCACGUGUAGCAGUGAAAUGCGUAGAGAUGUGGAGGAAUACCGAUGGCGAAGGCAGCCCCCUGGGCCAAUACUGACGCUCAUGCACGAAAGCCUGGGGAGCAAACAGG
rnacentral:rRNA from 1 species